UCCCGAUUUAAAUUCAUUUUUGUUGGUGGGGGGUUUCUGAAUGAUAGGUUAAAUAUAUUGUUCCCCCUGUUAUGAAGGAAGAUUCUCCUGAAAAGGUCGUCCGAAUGCAAAUAAAGUUGGCAGACCACUUAGUCGGCGACGUUAAGCGGUAGCCCGAAGCCCGAGUCUAGUUUAAAUAAGCUCGGACUAGUUAACGUACACUGCCGAUAGUCCGACCGGUCUAGUGCAUAUCUGUGUGCACUUUUUUAAUCGUUAGAGCUCAUCGUUACCGUAAGUUAACGCAGAAUGUCACACAACGCAAUCGAUAUUAAUAAACUGAUACUCUCUUCCUUGCAAAAAUUCCGUAAACCAGUUUUGACGGUCUCCCUAAUAACCGAUUGUUCAAAAUAAAAAAAAGCUUGAAAACGGUCAGUACCACGUGUUUUGAAAAUGUCAAAUUUUUGUAAUUAUUGAUUGAUUUAUGUUGCAUAGACUGAAUAAAAUAUAAUCAUAACAGAAAAUAAAAAAAACAUUGAACAUUUUUGCGUCGGAAGAUGUUAAUUCGUAACUGCCCGCUUGACAUCUGGUGUAUUUUAGAUGAUUGGUUAUUAGG
rnacentral:lncRNA from 1 species